UCUCCCUUUUUCCAGGUUUUCUUGACUUUUCUCCCAUUUUCUCUAUUUUUCACCACUGGAAUGACCGUUUUACCCCUGUAGGUCAUGCCUGAGCCCACCAACGAGACCGUGAUUCCCCAUCGCUCACCAACGAGACCGCGAUUCCCUAGCGCUCAGCACCAACAAAAAAAAAUCGAUCUCCCCGAACCCUAGUCCAUGGUGGCGGCGGACUAAUGGUGGCGGGAACUGGAGCGGCUGCCCAGGCUGGUGGAUCCCAGGCCACACAGGCGGGCGGAUCCUAGGCCGCACAGGCCGGCAGAACUGUGGCCGCACAGGCGGGCGGAGCGACGGCCACCAUGGCUAGGUGAGCAUAUGUCCGUCCUGAAUGUACUAGUAAUGCUAUUAGUUGACUAUGUAUGAGGAUGUUUGUUUGAUUUUGGUUCUUCUAACCGGCGAUUGCGUAGGAAUGAUAGUGAUGAUUCCUAUAGUUUGAGCGUUGCCAUAAACUGUAUUUUAUGAUGAUGGAAGUAAGAAGAGGUUUGAACCUACGAAUUUCGUUUUGGAUGUAAAGCAAAAUGGAUACACUCUGCAAAAAUUUUGUGAGGAUUUGAAAUGGGAGAAGGUCAUGUGGGGUAGUUGUCAGGAGCCCGUUUGUUAUUUCUGGGACAGGGAAAGUUCUAAUCUUGAGAAGGUUGUGACUAACCUGCAGUUAGGGCAGGCAUUUAACAUGUAUUCGAGGUCUCGUGUGAUAACAAUUGUUGUAGAUUUUGAGAUGAGGAAGGAGUACCCUGCAAGCUUGACAAUGCAGGAGAAAAUCAUAGACCUUGAGGUGUUAUCUCCAAGCAAAGGUAGUCUGGAGGACAAAGAGAUGGUAUCUGGGAGUGGUUCCAUGAUUGUUGCAAAUUGUCAAGAUGCUAUGCAAUCCAAAGCUUAUAACAGCCGUAGUACCCCCUAUGAUGAUGGUAAAGCAGUAAACCCUCCUGACGAUGAUGUGGAUCCUGAGAUGAUGUAUGAUGCAGAUGUCAUCAUCAAUGAUGAUGAUAUGUUUGUUUUGUUGGGGCUUAGAGAUGAGGACCAGGCACUUGAGAAUGCUCAAAUGAUGGAAAGAGAGGCACAACAAGCAACAGAGGCACAGGUUGGGAAAUCUGCUGCAGUUGCAGACAUUGAAGGUGCUGCACUCAUAGUAGAUGACAAUGCAAAUAUUGAACCAAUAUAUGCUAUUGACAAGGAAAAUCCUUGAUAAAGCUUGGCCAAACUUUUCCUACCAUGGAGGAGCUUAGGAUGGCAUUGAGGCAGCAUUGCAUCAAGAAAGAGUUUGAGGUCCAUAAGGUGGUGACUGACAAGACGAAGUACAGAGCAAGCUGUAAGGCCAAAGGUUGUCAAUGCAGAAUUGUAGCUUACAAGCUGCCACUUCAACCAAUAGUCAAAAUUAGUAUGAUUCCAAAUGGCGUGACUGUUCAUCAACUAGCAAAGUGACAUGUAGGAUGGCAUCGCAGAAAUGGGUUGCUGAGAGGGUUCAUGGUUGGCUGAUCAAAAAUCCAGGUUGGGGUGCCAAGGCUUUGCAGGAGAAAUUGCAAGCAGCCUACAAUGUUAAAGUUGGUUAUUCUACAGUUUGGGUAGGUAUACAAAUAGCGAUGUAUAGAAUUUUUGGGCCCUGGGAAGAUAGUUUCUAGUUAUUAUAUAACUUCAAAGCAGAGCUGGAGCUUAAGUCACCUGGGAGCAUUAUGGAGAUUGCCACGAAGACAAUUGAUGGUAUUGUAUAUUUUGACAAGCUAUUUGUAGCUCUAAAGCCAUGUAUAGAUGGCUUCAAGGCUGGUUGCAGACGUUAUCUUUGUAUUGAUUCAACUGCACUUAAUGGGAACUAUGAAGGGCAGUUGGCAUCUGCAUGUGCAUUAGAUGGACACAAUUGGAUGUAUCCGGUUGAAUGGGGGUGUAAUGCACUUAGAAUCUAAAGAAAACUGGACAUGGUUCAUGAAGCAGUUGAAGAGGGCAAUUGGGACACCACCAGCAUUGGCAAUGUCAUCUGAUGCUUGCAAAGGGUUGGAUGGUGCAGUGAAGUCAGUGUUUCCUAACAUUGAACAUAGAGAGUGUAUGAGACAUCUGUGGGCCAACUACAAAAAGAGAUUCCAAGGAGAUGUGUUUCAGAAGCACAUGUGGCCAGCAGCAAGGGCUUACAUGCAAGAUAGAUUUGAGUUCCACUUUGGACAAGUGGUGGCAGCUUCUGAUGAAGUUGUGCCAUUCUUAAACAACCAUCACAACCAUAAAUGGAGGAGGUCCAUGUUCUCAGAGAUGAUCAAAUGUGACUAUGUGGAUAACAAUCUUGCUGAGAGUUUCAAUAAUUGGAUCAAGAACAUCAAUGAUUACGCACUUGUAGAGUUAAUUGAUGCCUUGAGACAAAUGACAAUGCAGCUUUGGGACAAGAGGAGGAGGAUAUCUAUGAGGCUACAAGGUUAUAUUCCCUGAUAUAGUUAAGCAUUUGAAAGGUAAAACAUUUGGGUUGGGUCACAUGAAGGUACUCAAGAGUGGAUGGCCUGGUGCAGAGGUGUUUGGGGCAGACGAAGAACUAACUCCAUGGAGGCAUGUUGUUAUCAAUCUACCUACAAAGACAUGCACUUGUAGGGAGUGGCAGCUUACCGGAAAACCUUGCCUCCAUGCUCUAGCAUUCAUCAUAUCGCAGAGGAAUAUUGAGGUAGAAGACUAUGUGCAUGAGUACUAUUUUCUUGAGAGGUUCAUGCUUGUUUAUGCUACGACCAUUCAACCUAUGACUGAUAAGUCCCAAUGGCCUCAAGUUGGCACUGGAUUCAAGCUCAUGCCACCGAAGCAAAAAAAGAAAACUGCUGGAAGGACUAGGAAGUUGAGGUUUAAAGCUGCAGAUGAGCCUGGAGCAAAGAAACAACAUAGGUGCAAGAAAUGUGGUGAAUAUGGACCUCGUGAAGCAGGCUGCAUUCCAAAGAAAAGGUGAUUUCUAAUCCUUACAAACACAUAUCCUUACUAUAUUAUACAUUAAUCUUCAUUUGCUUUUAUGAAAAGAACUUCCAAGAAAAAGGAACCUUUUCAAGCAAGGACUGUUCCUACAAAGGCUAUUAGCCCUGGAGCAGUGACAAGGAGGAUGCUUGCUCUUACACAGGCAAGGCAAAACAACUCUGGAGAAGUUACUUCUGGUGCAAGAAGGUUGUUGGUGUUGUCCCAGGAACCAUCAGCUCCUCCAGCCAUAAGGAAG